GAGUUUGAUCCUGGCUCAGAUUGAACGCUGGCGGCAGGCCUAACACAUGCAAGUCGAGCGCGAAAGCACUUCGGUGUGAGUAAAGCGGCGGACGGGUGAGUAACGCGUAGGAAUCUACCUAGUAGUGGGGGACAACUCGGGGAAACUCGAGCUAAUACCGCAUACGCCCUACGGGGGAAAGCGGGGGACCUUCGGGCCUCGUGCUAUUAGAUGAGCCUGCGUUGGAUUAGCUAGUUGGUGGGGUAAAGGCCUACCAAGGCGACGAUCCAUAGCUGGUCUGAGAGGAUGAUCAGCCACACCGGGACUGAGACACGGCCCGGACUCCUACGGGAGGCAGCAGUGGGGAAUAUUGCGCAAUGGGCGAAAGCCUGACGCAGCCAUGCCGCGUGUGUGAAGAAGGCCUUCGGGUUGUAAAGCACUUUCAAUUGGGAGGAAAGGUUCACGGUUAAUAACCGUGAGCUGUGACGUUACCUUUAGAAGAAGCACCGGCUAACUCCGUGCCAGCAGCCGCGGUAAUACGGAGGGUGCAAGCGUUAAUCGGAAUUACUGGGCGUAAAGCGCGCGUAGGUGGUCUGUUAAGUCGGAUGUGAAAGCCCCGGGCUCAACCUGGGAACUGCAUCCGAUACUGGCAGACUAGAGUGCGGGAGAGGGAGGUAGAAUUCCACGUGUAGCGGUGAAAUGCGUAGAUAUGUGGAGGAAUACCAGUGGCGAAGGCGGCCUCCUGGCUCGACACUGACACUGAGGUGCGAAAGCGUGGGGAGCAGACAGGAUUAGAUACCCUGGUAGUCCACGCCGUAAACGAUGUCUACUAGCUGUAGGGGUACUUGAGACCUUUGUAGCGCAGCUAACGCAAUAAGUAGACCGCCUGGGGAGUACGGCCGCAAGGUUAAAACUCAAAUGAAUUUGACGGGGGCCCGCACAAGCAGUGGAGCAUGUGGUUUAAUUUCGAUGCAACGCGAAGAACCUUUACCAGGCCUUGACAUCCUCGGAACUUUCUANNAGAAUAAGAUUGGGUUGC
rnacentral:rRNA from 1 species